UGUAAAUUGUCUUCUUAGCUGUCAUAUAACAGUAAAUCCAGUGCUUCAUUUGAGCUGAAUCCUGCCGGAAUAGGAUAGGGAAAAGUAAUGUAUGCCCAUAAAUAUCAAAGAACGUGACAGACAAUUUAAAAUAUAUUAUCAUAUAUUUAAAACUCAUAUAAAUCUCACAACCCCCAUACAUUUUUUAAUAUUGAUAUAUAUUUUCAAUAUGCAAAAUGUACGUAGAUUAUUCUUUUGUUCAAUGGAUUUAUUGCUUUGAAAUGUUUUCCAUAAAAGUUUUUUUUACAUAGCAUAUAUUUAAAAACCAUACAUACAUCUCACAUGUAGGGAUUCAUUAUUUAGUCAUUGCAUUUGGUGUUAGGCAACAUUAUUACUACUUUGUUUCUUGUAGCUACUGUAGAUGAUACUUGCCAACAUUUUGAGAAUAGAUUGACAUGGCGUGGAUAACUAUUGUAGGUUUAUAAUUUAUGUACAAGUUUUGAAAAUGCACAGAAACCUGUUUAUUGUCAUACUGUAGUUGUGGCUGCCCAUAAGGUUAUGGCAUCACAUUGGAUUUAUAAAAUAUGGUUUGGAUAUUAUUGUUCUAACUAAUGACUGCAGUAGGGUUGUAAUUCCCUAUUAUUUUGGACUGAGUCCUCGAGAAUUUCCAUUGGGAAUCGUUUAUGCAUAUUGCCAACAGCAGGGGGCGCGGUAUGAGCGGCUCCCCUUCCCUCACCAACACUCGAAGAAGUCUGUGACAACUGGACGUUUCUCCUCCUGUCUACUUUGUCUUUGUUCUGUUAAACAGAUCAAAAUUCACCCAGGCUCAAAAGUUACGGUUCCAAAUUCGUCUGGAGGGCGGUCAUGCAACUAGGUCAACAGUUCCACUGACAUGGCAAGAGCGCUGUUGGGUGCUUUUAAUGUUGACAUGUUGCUGAAGUGCAACCUGAGAGUUGCAAAGCUAAAAUGGAAGAAGAUGGGGGAACAAAGACAGAUUGGAUCCUGAAAAAGUGAUAACAAUAACCGAUUCUGUCAUGAAGUGCUUCCCUGGUUCAACAAAUGGACACGUGGGAAUGGCUUACAACAAUAAAUGGCUGAAUUAAGAAGCGAUGAGAGCAAAA